rnacentral:rRNA from 1 species
UACGUAGGGUGCGAGCGUUAAUCGGAAUUACUGGGCGUAAAGCGUGCGCAGGCGGUUUUGUAAGUCAGAUGUGAAAUCCCCGGGCUUAACCUGGGAAUGGCAUUUGGGACUGCAAGGCUGGAGUGUGGCAGAGGAGAGUGGAAUUCCCGGUGUAGCAGUGAAAUGCGCAGAUAUCAGGAGGAACACCAAUAGCGAAGGCAGCUCGCUGGGACGUUACUGACACUGAGGCGCGAAAGCGUGGGGAGCGAACAGG